rnacentral:lncRNA from 1 species
ACGACGUUGUUUUGACAGUUUAAAAAAAUUAAAAGAUAAAAGAAAUCAAAUAUUCGCGUACACAAUUCUUUAAUUUCCUAUGAGAGAAUGAGAUUAAGAAACCCUAGCCUUUUCACCAUCUGCAACCAUCCAUGUAUGUCGUCUGCCUCCAUAUAUGUAUGGCACCCGCCACCAAUUGCGUACACUAUUUGUCGCCAUCUUCCUUGCAGGUCUG